GAUACAUUAAAAAAAAUUGGUAUGAUGCAGAGAAGAUUAGCAUAGCCCCUGCACAAGGAUGACAUGUAAAUUUGUGACAUGUUCUCUGUUUUU
rnacentral:snRNA from 1 species